GCUCUCUUCAUUUUUCUUCUAGUUAAAGGAGCAAUACACGUAUGGAUAUUGAUGAAAAAAAUGUGGUUCCCCACAGACAUCUUUCUGCAUGUAUGAUAUCCUAGAAGGGAGGAAACAGCUUGAGCCUGAAGGUCUCUAGUUUUUGACUACAAGGCAUAAAGACUGCUGUUGUGUUCUGCUUUUUAGAGAUGCUGAGCAGCCAUAAAUAUGGAUGAAGUCAAGGGAGCCAUAGCUUUCAGCAACAAAGGUAUAUACCGCAUCAGGAUGAGGAGGGAUUUUGGACCAUACCUUCUGGCAGGGUGGCAUCCCAGGUCUAAAUUGAGGAUGAGCAGAUACUGAAAUGCCCAACUCAUUGUACUUGGGUGAAAAAGGAUACCAUGGAAGUGUCAAAAGUACAAACUAGUAUUAAGUGGUCUGCAUGGGUGCGUGAACAUAUGUGCCUUGUCCAUACCCUCUGGAACAAGAUGAUCACAGGCCUGGAGGCAGUAUCCUGAGCUACCGACCAGUUCUACUUACAGUGGGACAUCUUGUCUACAGUCCUAGCUAGUACCAACACAGAAACCUUCAGGUUGAUGCCAGAAUCCUGUACUGAUCUGCAUGGAUGCUGGAAGACUCUGUAGAUGCAGGUCAAAGUGGGAAGGAUUUCUUAAUAAUAUUGAAAUACAGCCCCGCUCUGCCUCUAUAUUUUUGCUCUCUCCCUUUUCUGAGCUAAAUUGUACCAAUUUCCCUGACCAGAGCUCAUUGCAGUGGCAGAGCUAUGACUCACCUGGUAGUUUCUGAGAUUGCCAGGCAUUCCCUUCUAAAUCUUUUCAUCCCCUUCAGCCUAUUUUUAAAUGCCUGGCCUCUGUUCUUAAGUGCUGGUAUUGAGCAAAAUAUAAAUAUAGUGCAACCUCCGGUUUUAACCUUGGCCUUGAUCCUCCUCCUAUUCUAGUUAAAUGCAAUAAAAAAGAAAGGUAACAUGAAAAUGUAUAUUAUUUUUUUUAAAGAUGUUUAGAAUUCUUUAAAACACAUGAGUCAGCUAAGCAUUUAAAAGUAAAAUAUAGAUAUAAAAUUAUUCAGACAGGGUGAUAUAAUAUAGAAUUUAAAUUGAGCAUAUUUUAGCAGCACUGGGAAACCUUACCCCAGAGCUAAUAAUGUAAUAGAUCUAUCUCACCAACAACUUGGAAGUUGCAACAGAGUUUUAUCCACAAAGGAGAGUUCUCUGGCCUACUUUAUUAAAUACCUUAGAGGACUUUGCCUGUAAGAUUACAUUUGAACAAUGCGAUUUAUUAAAAUCUCUGUUCUUAUUUUUCCUGCUGAAAUUUUAGACAUUUUCUAUGGAAAAAAUGCAUAAACAAAUCCAACAGGAUAAAUAAACAUCAUUCAACAAAUGUUUCAUGAAACAGGCAGAGAGGGAAAACAUCCCAUAGUUUAUUUUUCAACAUCACUUGUAUACUCAUGUUUAUGCAUCUCCCUCUUUUGCUAUGGUAUAUCGGACAAAUUGUGUUCCUGAUUAAAAGUACUUUUCAAAUCUGAAGCAGAGCUGGGAAAAUAAUGACCCAUUAAAAGUCCUAAUUAAAA